GAUGAAGAACGUAGCGAAAUGCGAUAAGUAAUGCGAAUUGCAGAAUUCAGUGAGUCAUCGAAUCUUUGAACGCACAUUGCGCCCUGUGGUAUUCCGCAGGGCAUGCCUGUUCGAGCGUCAUUUCAACCCUCAAGCUCCGCUUGGUGUUGGGCCCUGCCCCCGCGGCCGGCCCCAAAGACAGUGGCGGCGCCGCUUGGCCCUAAGCGUAGUACAUCUCUCGCUCUAGGACCCGGCGGUGGCCUGCCAGAACCCCCAACUCAUGUGGUUGACCUCGGAUCAGGUAGGGAUACCCGCUGAACUUAAGCAUAUCAAUAAGCGGAGGA
rnacentral:misc_RNA from 1 species